CCCUGGUUCUCUCAGUUGGUAGAGCGCUCCACCUGUAAUGGAGAGGUCCCAGGUUCGAUACCCGGACCAGGCG
rfam:Ixodes scapularis strain Wikel colony gcontig_1108379326454, whole genome shotgun sequence.